AGAUUGAACGCUGGCGGCAUGCCUUACACAUGCAAGUCGAACGGCAGCGCGGGGCAACCUGGCGGCGAGUGGCGAACGGGUGAGUAAUAUAUCGGAACGUACCCUGGAGUGGGGGAUAACGUAGCGAAAGUUACGCUAAUACCGCAUACGAUCUAAGGAUGAAAGUGGGGGAUUCGCAAGAACCUCAUGCUCCUGGAGCGGCCGAUAUCUGAUUAGCUAGUUGGUGGGUAAAGGCCUACCAAGGCAUCGAUCAGUAGCUGGUCUGAGAGGACGACCAGCCACACUGGAACUGAGACACGGUCCAGACUCCUACGGGAGGCAGCAGUGGGAAUUUUGGACAAUGGGCGCAAGCCUGAUCCAGCAAUGCCGCGUGAGUGAAGAAGGCCUGGUUGUAAAGCUCUUUGUCAGGAAGAAACGGUCGUCGUCUAAUACAGAUGGCUAAGUGACGGUACCUGUAAGAAUAAAGCAACCGGCUAACUACGUGCCAGACC
rnacentral:rRNA from 1 species